rnacentral:rRNA from 1 species
UACGGAGGGAGCUAGCGUUGUUCGGAAUUACUGGGCGUAAAGCGCACGUAGGCGGCUUUGUAAGUUAGAGGUGAAAGCCCGGGGGCUCAACCCCGGAAUUGCCUUUAAGACUGCAUCGCUUGAAUCCAGGAGAGGUGAGUGGAAUUCCGAGUGUAGAGGUGAAAUUCGUAGAUAUUCGGAAGAACACCAGUGGCGAAGGCGGCUCACUGGACUGGUAUUGACGCUGAGGUGCGAAAGCGUGGGGAGCAAACAGG